rnacentral:lncRNA from 1 species
UCUGAGCAGGAGUUCGGUGCCCGGAGCUCCGGUCGCCGGUCAUCAAGGGGGCAGGUGGAUCGCCGUGAAUUCCCCGUCUGAACUCGAGUGAGAGCUGGUGGAACUCCGUAGGAGGGCCCGGCAUUGAUGCAGCAUUUAACGAAGUUAAGGUUUUAAUAAUGGUGGGGUCAAAGUAUACCGCGACUUGAAUGCCGGAAGAAGACGUACAUCUCUACAGUUCAACCGUAGACUCCGACACGAACUCGGCGGCAGUACCUUUUGUCGGUAGAUAAAGGAAAAGGGUACGCGGGGAGCGAGUGGAGAAAAGUCCAAGACGUCCCUAUGCCUCCUCUCUCCUGGAUAGGUCUAUAAACUCCUUCAUCCACCAGUUUCAGCGCUCACAACGAGCUAAUUAUCCGUUCCUCUCUCUCUCUCUCUCUCUCUCUCUCUCUCUCUCUCUCUCUCCCCCCCCCCNN